rnacentral:rRNA from 1 species
UACGUAGGGGGCGAGCGUUGUCCGGAUUUAUUGGGCGUAAAGAGCGUGUAGGCGGCCAGGUAGGUCUGCUGUGAAAACUCGAGGCUCAACCUCGAGACGUCGGCGGAAACCAUCUGGCUAGAGUCCGGAAAGAGGAGAGUGGAAUUCCUGGUGUAGCGGUGAAAUGCGCAGAUAUCAGGAAGAACACCCGUGGCGAAGGCGGCUCUCUGGGACGGUACUGACGCUGAGACGCGAAAGCGUGGGGAGCGAACAGGG